rnacentral:rRNA from 1 species
UACGUAGGUGGCGAGCGUUGUCCGGAUUUACUGGGCGUAAAGGGAGCGUAGGCGGACUUUUAAGUGAGAUGUGAAAUACCCGGGCUCAACUUGGGUGCUGCAUUUCAAACUGGAAGUCUAGAGUGCAGGAGAGGAGAAUGGAAUUCCUAGUGUAGCGGUGAAAUGCGUAGAGAUUAGGAAGAACACCAGUUGCGAAGGCGGCUCUCUGGACUGUAACUGACACUGAGGCACGAAAGCGUGGGGAGCAAACAGGAUUAGAUACCCCUGUAGU